AUAAUUCAAAUUAGUUUCUUUUCCGCAGAAUAUAAAAAUUAUUAUGAAUAUUUUCUAUAUUAUCAAUCAUCUUAUGAUUAUUUAUUUGGUGUUAGAAAUUAAUUGUGAGCUACAAAUUCCUGUAUUAUAUCAAAAACGCCAUACAUUUGCCACACUUUCUGGAAAUAUAUCACUUUCUAAAAAUGAAGAUUCGAUCUGUCUUUGUGCUUCGAACGUGGAUUCAAAUGACAAGAUAUUAUUUAUAGAAAAUAUUCAUUAUUGGAAUAUAUUUAUUAAUGUAAAUACUAAUUGGUUUUCGUUUUUGUAUAAAAGACAGUCCGGUAAGAGAAAACUCCAACGAAAUUCUCGAUAUUGUGAAAUUAUAAAAGAGAAGUUUCAAAAUGUUUUUAAAAAAUCCGAUGUUCAAAAGUAUGAAAAACAUCUCGAAAAUCUUUCUUGCAAGAUUGAAAAUGUAACUUACAUUGAAUCACUGCUAGAUCUGAAGCAACUUUCUUCGUUUCCGAUUCCGUUCAGAAGUAUGAAUCUAAUAUGUUAUACACACAACAAGGGAGUAUUUUAUUUUAUAACUAACUGUUAUGCCAGGGUUUAUAAAGUACCUUUUAGCAGGAAUUUUUACAACUCGCGUUAUUAAUCGUAAAUUUCAAAAAUGUACGUAGUAAAUCCAUUAUAAUUAUUAGAAUGCCCAUAAACUACGUGGACGUAUGUGUUCGUAAAUAGCAAGUUUAUAGGUAAAUUAUUACAAUUAGUUUGGUUUAUUUGAUUACGGCAACGAGAUCUGCCGAGGGGCAUGCUUCCCGAUAGAAGUUUUAUGAAAAACUGGCCCCUAUUUUGGUGUUAAUAACUUGAAGAAAACCCGUAUAACUAACUAUACAUGGCCAGCCCGUGGGCGAUGUGCGAACCCAUGACCAACUAACCACCAAUAACUACCAGUGCAACAGUUUCGAUUCCACACAUCUGAUAAAAUCGCCAGUCACAAGAGUGAGAAAAAAUCGAAUGAUUGUAUUACAUAUUAUCCUUGCUGUACAGAAUAUGGAAAAAUCGUCCCGGCUUCAAAUAAAAAGAAAUGUGGAGAAAACUGGAAUGAAUGCCUAGUGACUUCUACGUGUAAUGGUCUGACAGCCGAAUGCCCAACUCCAGAAAUCCGAAAGGACGGCACUGUUUGUAGGGGUUUUGUAACAUGUGUAGCAGGAAUAUGCAACUCAUCUAUUUGCACUAAGUAUGACUUACAGGAAUGCCAAUGUCAAAAAGGAUGUGAAGUCUGCUGUAGAAAUUCCAAAAAUCGCUGCCAAUCUAUUUCUCUAUUUGAAUUCGGUUCUCAUCCUUAUCGCUUCUCUACGUUUUGCGACAACCAUACUGGAUAUUGUAACGAAAAUGGAUUAUGCAUUCAUUUCACACACAGUGCUAUACAUAGUGAAGAAAUACUUCGGUGGAUAAAAUUACAUUGGUACUCAAUAGUUCUAUUGUUAUUGCCCCUUCUGUCAGUGUUAUUGUUAUCGGUUCUAUUGAACAAAACGACCGAAAUACCAAUACUCGACUUCUAUAAUGAAGUCGAAGUAACAUACGAAAAGAUGAAAAAUCGUCCAAAAGUACAAUUAUCAUCUAGAUACAUGACAGACGGAGUAAUACAAUUUUGCAGAAUAGCUACUUUGUUUCCCACAGUCAAUCUACCGCUUAUAGGAGAUUGCAUAUAUCAAGUAGGAAAAGAGAAUUGUAUUAUUGAAAUGUUCUUAGUAAAUGGAAUACCCAUGAGAGUAAUCUAUAACGAGAAUAUCAAACUUCCAUCUAAAAGAACUGAUCUUACAAUAGAUUCUGUAUCAGAUAAUUCUGUCCCUAUUAUUCAAAAUAACGCUAUAAAAGCCACACAUAUCAGGAAAGUUUAAAGAAAGGAAGAAAAUUGAAAGAGAAGAGAUAAACUAAUAUAAAUAUUCGUAAUGUAAUUGUAACGAAGAAAAAUGAAAAUUAUU